rnacentral:lncRNA from 10 species
UCAGAGGGCUGUUGGAGGAGUAGAUGAGGUGCUACAUGCAGGGCCCUGAGAACUGUCCUGUCGCUCAGGAAGCAAGUUUUGCAGGGUGUGGACAAUCGGGCAAGUGACUGCAUGUGACAACAGAGAGAGGGCAUGGUACACGGUGGCAGAUGAGCCCGGGACUGGAGGCAGAUCUGGGUUCCAGUUCGGGCUCUACCAGCAGCACCCAUGUGUCCUUCUGUUCUCUGGGCCUCAAUUUCCUGUUGUAAAAUUCAGAACUUGGAAGAGAACCUUUUGUUUUUGUAAUUAGAACUACAGAAAGGGACAGAGCUGUUUAUGUCAUGAAAAGCAGGCCUGAGCAUUAGAAGACUGAGAAACACCUGGGAGGAUCUUGUUUCAACAGAGCUCAAAGCCGUGGCAAAAGGACGGAGCUCGAAUUGUGCAAUUAAACCCAGGCCCCCAGCAAAUGGAAAAUGCCAUCCACUGGCACAGAGACUUCAGUUGGGAGCCGAGGACUGAACUCAGACCACCAUUCUUUGUUCAACAUUUCUUCCUGAGGGGCCUGGAGGAAGUCACACCCACAGGCCAGAGCUCAACAUUCCUUUCUGCUGACCCCAGGCACCAGUCCAUGGCACUCCCUAUGCCUGCAGGAUACCACAUCAAAGCAGAGUUGGGGGAGCAUUUCAGGAGGUUCCUGUGAAAAACCUACAUGCACACACCCCCACGUGCAGCUGCAGACUGCUAUCUAUACACGAAGUUAUGCAUCGCAGAGUCGACUGCAAAAGGCUGGAGCCCACACAGCGUCUAUCAAUAGGGAACGGGUUAAAUCGACCACAAGAUUUCCAUAUGACGAUGGAACACUUUCCAGCCAAGAAAGGAGGAGGAAGUCCUCACUGCUCUGAUACGGAACAGUCACCAAGACAUAUUUUAAGUAAAAAAAAGGCAGCAUGCAUAACCAGGGAAAUGAAAACUAAAACCACAGUGAGUUACAAUUUCACACAGAUCCAUCUACAAAAAAAAAAAAGCUGAUAAUUGCAGGUGUUGGUGAAGAAGUGGAGUGAGGGGAAUGCUCAAACUACUAGUGGGUGUGCGAAUGGUUAUAACCACUUUUUAAAAUUUUGGCAUUAUCUACUGAAGUUGACAAUGUACUUUCCCAAUGGCCUUGCAAAUGCCCUGGAGAAGUUCUUACCCAACCCCCGCCAUUCCCCCCAACACACACCAAAAGAAACAAUUAAGAACAUUUGCACCAGCUCUGUUCCUAGAACCCCAAAACUGAGGCCAGCACUGAGGCCAAGCACAGUGGCUCAUGCCUGUAAUCCCAGCAGGCAUGAGCCACCCUUUGGGAGCCUGAGGCCGGAGGAUUAUUGAGGUUGAGAGUUCAAGACCAGCCUGGGCAACAUAGUGAGACCUUGUCUCUAUAAAAGAAGUUUUAAAAAUUAGCCAGGUGUGAUGGCUCAUGCUUGUAGUCCCAGCUAAUUGGGAGGCUGAGGUAGGAGGAUCGUUUCUUGAGCCCUGGAGGUUGAGGCUGCAGUGAGCCAUGAUUGCACCACUGCACUCCAGCCUGGGCAACAGAAUGAGACCCUGUCUCAAAAAAUAAAAUUAAAUUAGAAAACAAUAAUAAUUAUUAUUAAUAAAUAAAAUAGUCCAAUGAAAAUAAUCAUACUAUCUCCAUGCAAUGGAAUUCUAUACAAGAGUGAAAAUGAACUAACUCCGGACAUGCGUAUCAGUACACUGAACUUCAGAACUAUAAUUAUGGGUGGGACAAAAGCCAGCCAUAGAAAACUAUUCUAUUCAUAAUCCCAAAAAGGUAGUAUACCAUAUUCAAUUAUUAUAUAUAUUUAUGUCUUGUUAUAUAUAAUGUUUAUUACAUUUAUCUUAGUAUAAAAAUAUAGUAUAUUUAUCAUAAUCUAUUAUAAACAAGUAGUAGGAUUAUAAAAAGACAAAAAGGGCAGGAUAAGCGUAAAAUUCAUGAUAGUAUUUAGGGGAAGAGGAGGGUGGGGCUGGAGAGAGGCACAUGGUUUCAAAAGCCCAGCUUCUUUGUCUAAAACAGGGCGUGGGUACCCAUACUGGUCUAUUGUAUUGUGGGUGUCUUUAAAAUGUAUAUAUAUUCUAUAACUACUAUUUUUGUAUCUACUCAAUAUUUAAUUUUAAAAUUUUAAAUGAGGCCUAGAACACUAUAAAAAGUAUGCUACCAUUUGUAUAGAAAAAGUGGACACACACAUCACUCAUGUGCAUAGAUUAAAGUGUCUCUGGAAACUUACACAUGCAACUGGUGAAACUGGUUUCCUCUGGGGAGGAGAACUGGGAGGCUGGGGACAAGGAGGGGCAAUAAAUCAAUUGAAAUUAAAAAUCACAAAAUUUAAGGAGAAGGAGACAAAGAAGGGAAGGAGGAAGAGAAGGGAGGGUGGAGGGGAGAGGCCAAGUCCUGGUCCCAGGAGGGACAGGGAGCAGAAAGAGGAGGACUGGCCAGGCUCUGGCUAUCAAAACCUGUGUGUGCCACAGGCACGAGUGGAGCCAGAAGCCUGCAGUCCUGCCCAGGAAAGCCUGUGUCCUCCGCGCACAACUCAGGCUUAGACCCAGAGAAUGCUCUUUCUUGCACCUGAGGACGGGGCUGGCUUCAAACAGUUGCCCAGGUUGACCCUGGCUCUGCAGUCUUUUGUUUCCAGAGCUUUGCUUCCAAACGAGGCUCCCUUGGGUCUCUUUCCCUGGCCCUGCCUUCUUAUCUCCAACCUUCACCCCACCUGUGAUCCAAGCGAUUCCUUUGAAGUUGCUUCAGAGUCUUCUGAGCCUUCAUCCUUGAUGACUCUGAAAUGUGCGUCUGUGGCACCAAGGUCAGCCAACAGCAAGUAGGCCCUUUUCAUCUCCUUUUAAACCUUCCCCUCAAGGACUCAGUGUCCUUGCUGUAUUGCCUUAUCAAAACCUGCUCACAUAUCCUUUGUUCACACUGGGAUACCGGUCAUUUAAAGGAAAACAGGCCCACUCUAACCAGGGUCACUGCCAAGUCCCUAAGUAUCAUGCCCUUGAGAGGUAAAAGCAUAAAGCACUAAGGGUAGAAUUUUGGGCAACAGCCAGUGGACAAGGACAAAAUGGGUGCAAUAUGCAGGGGUCCCUUCUGCCCCACCGGUAACCAUAACACCUCAGGACACAGGCUGGGGUCUGUAUUCAAAAGUGGGUCCCUCAGACCGGGCACAGUGGCUCACGCCUAUAAUCCCAGCACUUUGGGAAGCCAAGGCCAGCGGAUCCCUUGAGCCCAGGAGUUUGUGACCAGCCUGAGCAACAUGGCGAAACCCCAUCUCUACAAAAAAUACCAAAAUUAGUCUAGUCGGGCAUGGUGGUGCACACACCUAUGGUCCCAGCUAUUUGGGAGGCUGAGGGGGGAGAAUCGCUUGAGCCCCAGGAGGCAGAGAUUGCAGUGAGCUGUGAUCGAGCCACUGCACUCCAGCCUGGGCAACAGAGUGAGACCCUAUCUCAAGAAAACAAAAACAGAAAGUAAAAAAGCAAUCCUCGAGCAAAAGUGGGUCCCUCAGAGCCCAAUGACAGUGAUGAGGAGGAUGAGGUGGGAAAGGUAGUGUUACUCUGAACUAAAAAGGACUGCCCAGUGUGACCCUAUCUCCCAAACAGCCCAUGCAGGGAUCUGGGUGGCACCAUAGUACAGAAGUGGGUGCCAAGAGAGGCCUGGGCUGCACAGCCAGGUGCAUACAUGCCCUGGAGUCCAGGACAGGAUCAGCAGCAAAUCCACUCCAGGGAGCUCUCCCCCCUCACCAUCCUCUCAAUCAGGGUUCCCCAGUUGAAAAGCACCUUGGCAGUUCAUAAUUCUCCCUCUAAAGCCAGAAAGUGCUGUAAAGGAUAACAGAAGCCUGGCUGCACAGUGGAGCUUAAUGGAAGUCAUUCAACAAGCAGGUCUGGAGCAAACAUCAUGGACCAGCAGUACUGUGUGUUGGCACAGAUGUGAAGCAACUAUACUCUGAUACGGCUUGGAUAUGUGUCCCCACCCAAAUCUCAUAUUGAAUUUUAAUUCCCAGUGUUAGAGGAGGGGCCGGGUGGGAGGUGACUGGAUCAUGGGGGCAGAUUUCCCCCUUACUGUUCUCACGAUAGUGAGUUCUCAGAUCUGGUUAUUUUAAAGUGUGUAGCACCUCCCACUUUGCUCCCUUCCUCCUGCUUUGGCCAUGUAAGAUGUGCCUGCUUCGCCUUCCCCUUCCGCCAUGAUUCUAUGUUUCCUGAGGCCUCCCCAGCCAUGCUUCCUAUACAGUCUGCAGAACCGUGAG